GCCUGGGUGGCUCAGUGGUUGAGCAUCUGCUUUUGGCUCAGAGUGUGAUCCUGGAGUCUUGGGAUCGAGUCCCACAUUGGGCU
rfam:Canis lupus familiaris chromosome 29, whole genome shotgun sequence.